GUUAAUAACAAUGUUAUUGUUCUCUAAAUGUUGUCUCUCUUUUUUGCUAGGUUCUCUUCCUAUUUUUUUGAAAGAAAAUGGCUUUUACAGGUAAAGGUGGUGGUAGAAAGAGAGAACCUUGUUGGAAACAUGGGACACCAAGUCCAAAACGAGGAGAUGUCAUUUGUAACCAUUGCUCUAAGCUUAUGAAAGGUGGCAUUAAUAGGCUCAAAUAUCACCUUACACAGAUCGAAUGCCGAGAUAUCCAUGUAAGUUAUGCACUAAAGAGGCUACGAGGGAUGCAAUAGCUACGCUCAAAGAAUAUGAUCAAAGGAAGACAACAAAAAAGAGAACAAUAGAGGCAAUGGCAGCCCCAAGGGCAAAUUUGAGUUCUAUAGUGUCACAUGUAGAUGUGGGGGCGUCUAGUUCUUCCCUUGGGCCACAAAUACAAGGAUCGAGAUGUGUGGGCAGCCAUGUGGAAAACUACUUUGUUCCACGUAACACUCCUGGUGCACAACUUGGAUUGCAAGGCAUUGAAUGGAAUAAUGAGGCUCACCAAUAGGCAAAGGUGGUGUGUGCUAGAUUUUGGAUCUACAACAAUAUUCCGUUUAAUGUUGUUUCUAGUUCAUAUUGGGAGCAAUUGGUCACCGCAUUGACUGUGGCAGGUAAGAGGUUCAAGUCCCAAGUCUUUUUGAGAUGAGUGGGCUGUUAUUGCAGGAUAAGGUCCAAAACACUCACCAAUUAUUGGAAGAGCAAAGGAGUAUUUGGGAAAAGAAUGGCUGCACCAUUCUUUCUGAUGGGUGGAUGGAUGGUAGGAAUAAGACACUCAUCAACUUUCUAGCUACUUCAAGGGGACAGUUAGUAUUUUUAAAAUCAAUUGAUGCCUCCAAUGAAGUGAAGAAUGCAGAUACCUCGUGCAACAUGUUGGAUGAGGUGGUGAUGGAAGUGGGAGUUGGGAAUGUCAGUCGGGUUGUGACUAAUAAUGGAGUUGCAUAUGUGGUAGCCGCAAACUCUAAUGGCUGGGCAUCCGACAUUAUUUUGGAGCCCUUGUGCUGCCCAUUGUCUUGACUUGCUCCUUGAGGACACAGGGAAACUAAGCUAGGUGAAGAAAGUGGUUGAAGAUGGAAAGAAUAUCACCAUAUACAUCUACAAUCACACAUGGGUCCUUAGUCUUAUGAGAGAGCACACCGAUGGUAAGUAUCUUGUGCGAUUGUGGGUCACAUGCUUUGCUACCAAUUCCUCACCUUGCAAAGCAUACUAGCUGCAUUGCCCAACCUGAAGCGGAUGCUUGUGAGUGAAAGAUGGUUGGCAAGUCCUUAUGCUUCAAAGCUUAAAGCAAAGAAGGUUGUGACUGCCAUUUUUAAUUCUAAUUCUGCCAAGAUGGUGGAGGAGAUCAUCAAUGUAAGUUUUGAAACUUUAAUUGAUGAUUUAUUAAUUAAUUUUCUAAUAUUACAAUCUGCUGAUUUUGUUAAAUUUUUUAUAUCUAGGUGUCGGAACCGUUGGUGAGGGUGCUAGGAAUGGUGGAUGGGGAUCAUAACCCCAUGGGGUAUCUAUAUGAGGCCAUGGAUAAGGCCAAAGAGGCAAUUCAACACUUGUAUGAGUCAAACAAGACCAAAUAUGAACCCAUAUGGCGCAUAAUUGAUCGGAGGUGGAACCAUCAACUCCACCAACAUAUUCAAGCUGCUGCCUACUACUUGAAUCCCAAGUUUUUCUACUCCCCGAGUUUCAAAAUAGAUGUAGAGGUUAAAGUUGGCCUCAACACAUGCAUUCGAAGAUUAGUUGAUGAUGAGAACCUUUGAGACAUGAUACUUGAUGAGUUGCAGAGUUAUAAGAAGGCCACAUGGCCAUUUUUUUCUUCACCUGAUUGCAAACGUAGGAGAGACACCCUACAACUAGAUUUGUGGUGGGAAGAUUAUGGUGCCACAACACCUAAUCUUCAAAAGCUUGCCAUUUGCAUAUUAUCGCAGCCUUGUAGUGCUUCUGGUUGUGAGUGCAACUGGAGUGUUUUUGAGGCCAUUCACACAAAAAAGCACAAUAGGUUGACUCAACAACACUUGAAUGAUCUUGUCAAUGUGCGGUGUAACCUUUGAUUGCAUGAGAAGAAUGUGCAAGGGCAAGAUUCACAUGAAGCACUUUACUUGGAUGACAUUAAUCCAUAUUCAAUAGAAUGGGUUGCUGCUCCUGAUGAUGUUGAUUAUGAUUUGGAUCCAUUCCUUAUUGAUGAGCAGCUAAGUGAGUUGGAGAGGGCAGGAGAGGAAUGGGAUGCGGAAGUGGCAGCAUGUGAGGAGGAGGAACACCAGGUUGAUCAUGCAGCAGAGGCACCUAUCACUAUGGUCUAGGCACCUAUUGAGGAUGUUGCCACUAAUUCAGCACCACCCACCCAAUGACAACAAUCUGUUUUGAGCUUUAGUCGUAGACGCAAUUUAUGAAUUCUCAUUUUCAUUGAUACCAAAACUUGAACUUGAUAUGUAUUCAAAAUUUCAGAGGUUGUAGUUGUUUUGAACUUUUGUGGUCUAUGUCACUAUGAUACAUUGAUAUGUAUUGAACUCAAUUUUAUUCA